CGCAAGCCUGACGGAGCAAGACCGCGUGAGGGAGGAAGGCUCUUGGGUUGUAAACCUCUUUUCUCAGGGAAGAAGCUCUGACGGUACCUGAGGAAUCAGCCUCGGCUAACUCCGUGCCAGCAGCCGCGGUAAGACGGAGGAUGCAAGCGUUAUCCGGAAUUAUUGGGCGUAAAGCGUCCGUAGGCGGUUUAGAAAGUCUGAUGUUAAAGCCCACAGCUCAACUGUGGAUGGGCAUUGGAAACUUCUAGACUAGAGAGUGGUAGGGGUAGAGGGAAUUCCUAGUGUAGCGGUGAAAUGCGUAGAUAUUAGGAAGAACACCAGUGGCGAAGGCGCUCUACUGGGCCAUUACUGACGCUGAUGGACGAAAGCUAGGGGAGCG
rnacentral:rRNA from 1 species